CUAAAACAUUCACUCUCCAAUUGUUCUUGUGCUGUUGACUGUGAGUCUACGACUGCUAUUGUGCCUCGCCUCCCUUCUUAGUUCUCUCCUCUCUUUUCUUUUCUUAUUCCUCCCUAGUCUUUGCCUUGUGUUGCCGUCCUUAUCAGUUGCCUUCGUCAUGAGUUGCUGUUGUCCCUUAGAAGUCCAUUCGAUGCUAGCGCCACCCUGUUGCUGAAGUGGGUAUUGUUUUGAAAAGUUUAUGGAGUGUGGAUUAAAGAUAUUUGGCCUCACCGAAUCACCUUCACUUGCCUUCCAAAAUUACCUAUCUCGCCACCAUUUAUGUUGCCACUUAUUGGAAUUACACAUGGUUUAGGAGGAUCAAGUUCUACCCCUACUCCUAACUAUUAAAUGUUUCAAAUAGGCAUGGAAUUGUUAGACUGCUCUUGACCUCUUAUGAUUUUGUGUUUUGCAUGGAUUUUAAUCCAUUAUAAACUUUUAUUUUGCAUUGCAUUUUAAUCUAUUAUGGCCUGCUCUUGACCUCUAUGUAAUGUGUGGUGUUUUAAUGUGUG
rnacentral:misc_RNA from 1 species